rnacentral:tRNA from 1 species
GGGUUCGUGGCUCACCAGUAGAGCACUUGCCUGGCAUGUGUGAAGCCCUGAGUUCGAUCCUCAGCGCCA